rnacentral:misc_RNA from 1 species
UUUCCGUAGGUGAACCUGCGGAAGGAUCAUUACUGGGACCCAGGUUGGACGCUUCGGCGCCCGCCCCCACCCUUUGCCUAGCCUCGAUUACACAAACCCGUCGGCCUUAGGCGCGCCCGCUUGACAGCGCGGUGCGCCGGCCGGACACCAAACACUGAACAACAUUGCAGCCUGAAGUGAAAAGCAAAUAGUUAAAACUUUCAACAACGGAUCUCUUGGUUCUGGCAUCGAUGAAGAACGCAGC